GGAGGAGGACGCCGAAGGUGGGGCUAAUGACUGGGGUGAAGUCGUAACAAGGUAGCCGUACCGGAAGGUGCGGCUGGAUCACCUCCUAACAGGGAGACAACAAAAUGUUUAAUUUUAUAAUUUUGUCACCUUAGGUCGAUCGGUAUCUCACUUUCUUAACUUAUUAAGAAUUUCAUUUCCUAAGUUUUUCUAGGUCACACCCAUUAUUUUUCCUGGGCCAUUAGCUCAGGUGGUUAGAGCGCACCCCUGAUAAGGGUGAGGUCCCUGGUUCAAGUCCAGGAUGGCCCAUAUCUCUAUGUUGGGGGUAUAGCUCAGUUGGUAGAGCGCCUGCUUUGCAAGCAGGAUGUCAGCGGUUCGAGUCCGCUUACCUCCACUGAUUACCACCUCUUCCAUAAACGGUAGAAAGGAAAUGUUUUGAGUUGUGAUCAAAUUCUGAAAGAAUCUAGCUUCCUAAUGAAAUCAUUAAGAUGCUGGACUCAUUGAAUUAAUUUCAUUGUUUUCAGAGAACCUUGACAACUGCAUAGAUUAUUUUUAAAGACAAUAAGCAUCUUUAAUGAUGCAGAUUUAUUAUUUGUGCGAAUGCAUUAAUAACAAUUCUAUUAAGCUGAUGCUUCAAUUUUUGAAGUUAUUGGUCAAGCUACAAAGGGCUCACGGA
rnacentral:misc_RNA from 1 species